AGAGUUUGAUCCUGGCUCAGAACGAACGCUGGCGGCGUGGAUAAGACAUGCAAGUGGAACGCUGUGAUGUGAGUAGCAAUAUUUACGUCACGGAGUCGCGUAAGGGUGCUUAACACGUGGGCAAUUUGCCGCGAAUUUGGUGAUAACUUGUCGAAAGACAAGCUAAUAUCCAAUAGUAUGUGUUUGCGGCAUCGCAAACACAUUAAAGCCGGGGACCGAAAGGCCUGGCGAUUCGCGAUAAGCCCGCGGCCUAUCAGCUAGUUGGUAAGGUAACGGCUUACCAAGGCUACGACGGGUAGCUGGUCUUAGAGGACGACCAGCCACACUGGAACUGAGAUACGGUCCAGACACCUACGGGUGGCAGCAGUCGAGAAUUUUUCACAAUGAGCGAAAGCUUGAUGGAGCGACGCCGCGUGGGGGAUGAAUGGCUUCGGCCCGUAAACCCCUGUCAUUCGGGAUCAAUGCCGCUUGGCUAACAACAAAGCGGUUGAUAGUACCGAAAGAGGAAGGGACGGCUAACUCUGUGCCAGCAGCCGCGGUAAUACAGAGGUCCCAAGCGUUGUUCGGAUUUACUGGGCGUAAAGGGCGCGUAGGUGGCAAUAAAAGUCUGGUGUGAAAUCUCUGAGCUUAACUCAGAAACUGCACUAGAAACUGCAUUGCUUGAGUGUUGAAGGGGAGAUUGGAAUUCUCGGUGUAGCAGUGAAAUGCGUAGAUAUCGAGAGGAACCCAGUGGCGAAAGCGAAUCUCUGGGCAACUACUGACACUGAUGCGCGAAAAGCUAGGGGAUCAAACGGGGAUUAGAUACCCCGGUAGUCCUAGCUGUAAACGGUGCAUGCUUGCUGUAAGCAGAAUUAACCCUGCUUGUGGCGAAGCUAACGCGAUAAGCAUGCCGCCUGGGAAGUACGGUCGCAAGAUUAAAACUCAAAGAAAUUGACGGGGGCCUGCACAAGCGGUGGAGUAUGUGGCUUAAUUCGAUGCAACGCGAAGAACCUUACCUGGCCUUGACAUGCAAGUAGUAGCAUUAUGAAAGUAGUGCGAGGUAGCAAUACCAGCUUGCACAGGUGCUGCAUGGCUGUCGUCAGCUCGUGUCGUGAGAUGUUGGGUUAAGUCCCGCAACGAGCGCAACCCCUGUGUCCAGUUGCACCCGAUUAUUCGGCGCACUCUGGACAAACUGCCUCGCUCAAACGAGGAGGAAGGUGGGGAUGACGUCAAGUCAGGAUGGCCCUUACGGCCAGGGCUGCACACGUACUACAAUGCCCGAUACAAAAGGAUGCAAAGCGGCAACGCCGAGCCAAUCCCAAAAAUCGGGCCCAGUUCAGAUUGUCGUCUGCAACUCGACGGCAUGAAGCCGGAAUCGCUAGUAAUGGCGCAUCAGCUACGGCGCCGUGAAUACGUUCCCAGGCCUUGUACACACCGCCCGUCACAUCAUGAAAGCCGGUCAUACCCGAAGUCGCAACUUAUUGCGCCGAAGGUCUGGCUGGUGAUUGGGAUGAAGUCGUAACAAGGUAGCCG
rnacentral:rRNA from 1 species